rnacentral:misc_RNA from 1 species
CGCUCCACUUCCUGGUUUUGACAUUUGUUACAGCAGUUUCCAAGGUGGGAGAGUUAAUGAAGUCCCGGUGAUCAGAGUGUACGGCGCCACUCCUGGUGGCCAGAAGACAUGCUUGCACCUUCAUGGAGCCCUGCCUUACUUCUAUGUUCCAUGCUCGGAGCUCUUCCUCCAAUCUGAUGAAAAAGGGAGCGAAUGCACGAAUGCUCUAGCUCUUGCUCUUGAGAAGGUGCUCAAGCUUAAAGGCAAUGCUGGUUCCAAACGUCAACAUGUCCAUGGCUGCAGCCUUGUACGAGCAAG